AACGAACGCUGGCGGCAUGCCUAACACAUGCAAGUCGAACGAGACCUUCGGGUCUAGUGGCGCACGGGUGCGUAACGCGUGGGAACCUGCCCUUAGGUUCGGAAUAACUCCCCGAAAGGGGUGCUAAUACCGGAUAAUGUCUUCGGACCAAAGAUUUAUCGCCUUUGGAUGGGCCCGCGUUGGAUUAGCUAGUUGGUAGGGUAAAAGCCUACCAAGGCGACGAUCCAUAGCUGGUCUGAGAGGAUGAUCAGCCACACUGGGACUGAGACACGGCCCAGACUCCUACGGGGGGAAGCAGGGGGGAAUUUUGGAAAAGGGGCGAAAGCCUGAACCAGAAAUGCCGGGGGAGUGAUGAAGGCCUUAGGGUUGUAAAGCUCUUUUACCCGGGAUGAUAAUGACAGUACCGGGAAAAUAAGCCCCGGCUAACUCCGU
rnacentral:rRNA from 1 species